rnacentral:rRNA from 1 species
GACCGGAAGGUGGAAUGCACUCCUUCUCAUUCAGUAGCAGCAUNACCAGGUGCUGCAUGGUUGUCGUCAGCUCGUGCCGUGAGAUGUCGGCUUAAGUCCCAUAACGAGCGCAACCCUUAUUANUAGUUACUAACAGGUGAAGCUGAGGACUCUGGUGAGACUGCCAGCGUAAGCUGGGAGGAAGGUGGGGAUGACGUCAAUUCAGCAUGGCCCUUACNUCCGGGGCGACACACGUGUUACAAUGGCCAUGACAAAGGGCAGCUACCC